rnacentral:rRNA from 1 species
UACAGAGGAGCCAAGCAUUGUCCGGAUUGACUGGGCGUAAAGCGCAUGCAGGCGGUUCUGUGCGUGGGGUGUGAAAUCUGGCCGCUUAACGGCCAGGCGCCAUCCCAUACGGCAGGACUGGAGUGAUGCAGAGGUCGAUGGAAUUGCCGGUGUAGUGGUGAAAUGCGUAGAGAUCGGCAGGAACACCCAGGGGGAAACCAGUCGACUGGGCAUCUACUGACGCUGAGGUGCGAGAGCGUGGGGAGCGAACCGG